GUCCCUCGUAACCUAAUCGAUCUCUUCUUUUACACUUCGAGUUGUCGUCGAGGCGCAAGAGAUCGAGAGAGAGAUGGAGAGGGUCAGGACGACGUGAAGCAGCUCGAAGAUUGCUCCGUUGCCAAGAGGAAUAAAAGUGGUCAAAUAUAGAUUGAUCAUCAGGAAAUGUUACUUAGUGGUGGAAGUUCCAUGAUGAGCUUUUCAACUGGCACACGACAUGUUAUUGUAUGCCCCCUAAAGCAUUCAUCCUAGUAUGGAGAAAUUUACAGCAGAUACAACAACUUGACGUCUGGAUCAUAUCGACUUGACCUUUGUUUUGCUUGCUUUUCCUCCGAAGUGCGCUCGGUACAUGGUUCUUCUCAGUAGCUGGAGCUUUGAUUGCAAUUGCAGUGGGAAUACAUAAGAAAUCACUGGCGCCAUUGGUCUUCUUCGGUACCACCGGCACCAUGCUUGAUAUCAUCGUGGGAAUCAGCCAAUGCGAAGGAGAGCAGGCAGAGCGCCAGAUGAAGCUCCUGGAAACUCGAAAGACACAACUUUGCAGGCAGUGCUUCAUCUGAUGCCGAAAGCUAUGUUGGAUGAUUUUUUUGCAUGUUAUGUUGUAUGGAGAAUUUUAUUUGCUAUUCUAAUUAAACUGUUAAUUCAACAAUCACUGGAUAAGUUGUUUCGUUCCUUUA